rnacentral:rRNA from 1 species
AUUGAACGCUGGCGGUAUGCUUAACACAUGCAAGUCGAACGGUAGCAGGCCUUCGGGCGCUGACGAGUGGCGGACGGGUGAGUAACGCGUAGGAAUCUGCCUUAUAGUGGGGGACAACGUGGGGAAACUCACGCUAAUACCGCAUACGCCCUACGGGGGAAAGCGGGGGAUCUUCGGACCUCGCGCUAUGAGAUGAGCCUGCGUUAGAUUAGCUAGUUGGUAGGGUAAAGGCCUACCAAGGCGACGAUCUAUAGCUGGUCUGAGAGGACGAUCAGCCACACUGGGACUGAGACACGGCCCAGACUCCUACGGGAGGCAGCAGUGGGGAAUAUUGGACAAUGGGCGGAAGCCUGAUCCAGCAAUACCGCGUGUGUGAAGAAGGCCCUAGGGUUGUAAAGCACUUUCAAUGGGGAGGAAAACCUACCGGUCAAUACCCGGUAGCUUGACAUUACCUUUAGAAGAAGCACCGGCUAACUCCGUGCCAGCAGCCGCGGUAAUACGGAGGGUGCGAGCGUUAAUCGGAAUUACUGGGCGUAAAGCGUGUGUAGGUGGUUCGUUAAGUCAGAUGUGAAGGCCCCGGGCUUAACCUGGGAACGGCAUUUGAAACUGGCGAACUGGAGUUGAGUAGAGGGGAGUGGAAUUUCAGGUGUAGCGGUGAAAUGCGUAAAUAUCU